AAAUUUAAAUAACAGUAUAAGUGAGUUUGUAUCUCGAUGGUUAUAUGUAU
rnacentral:guide_RNA from 1 species